UGGUCACGUGUUGUGUGACGUCACCGAUGACGUCACUAAAAGCAAAAAUAUUGAUAUCUCUUGAAAGAAACAUUGUUUCACAACCAAACUUGGCAGGUGUCAUCUUGGUGUCAAGGGAGGUGCACAGAUAUGGUCAUAGAUGUGAUGAGUGACGUCGUCGAUGACGAUAAUGUGAUGAGUGACGUCAUCGAUGACGCAAAAUUAUUCCGAUUUCAUUAAGAACAAAAAUAUCUCAUGAACGAAACAUAGUGACUACCAAUCUUGGUAUGUGUCAUGAAGCUGUCAAGAGGGGUGCACCAAUAUAGUCACGUGAUUGUGACGUCAUCAAUGUAGAAAACAUUCAAAGCAAAGAUUUGGUCGUUUGGAGCUCCGCUUUUAGGCAAUGCAUAAAUCUAUAUAUUAUUUUUUCUGAAUGCAUAACAACCAAUGGCUGUCGUUUUUCUAAAUGAUCUAAAAGAGCAUUGCGAUCGCGCGGGAAACCUGUGAUUUCCAAAAAUGGCGGCCUACAAAACCCUAGCAAACACGAAUUCCGGGAAGUUUACGUGGAAAUUCUAGACGUACAGCUUUCUAGGAAGAUAAAAAAAAAAUAUCUCCUAAAUAUGGUAUAAAAUGUGCUAAUACGCAAGCUAAAAUAAUUUUUCAAAACGAGAUUGGUUGCCAAUUAGUACUCGCAAUAAUUGUUACGUCACGUUACAUGAUAUUCUUCAUUUCGCACGCGCGGUUGAAGUGUGACAGCUUUGCUUGGAACGCUGCCUCUAACUUCUUCAGAUGAUUUAUGUAUGACAGCAUGCCACUAAACUCGACCACUAGCCAACAGCGCCUGCGCGACAGUCACAAACUGCUGGUCGAGCGACUGGAGAGAAUGUCUCGCGGUCAGGCCCGUACUGCGGGCUCACAAACCCUUGACAGUCUUGAAUUUAUACAGGAGCAAUGGCGAAAAAUCAAGAAAGACAACAACAACACUAACACUUCAGAGGGUCACAUGACCGUUGCUAAGCGACCGAUGAUGUCACUCGUAGUUGGUUUCAUUCUCGCGUCAAGUUGGCUACCCAUAAUGCUUUUCGUGUUGUUUGUCGUUGGAACAUUCGCGCUGAUUCUAACAUUAUUCGUCAUCUUUCAAACGUCGUUGCUAGGGAUGGGAUUCGUCACCAUAGUUACAGCUAUAUUUGCACCAAUCAGCUUCGGCGUCUUUGUCAUCAUGACACUCGUCGGGUGCCACAGGAUGUGGGCUCUGAUGGUCAUGCGGGUUGCGGAUUUUGUAUCGCGGGCUCAUGCAUUGAUUUGGUAUCACCUGCCUUAUUACGGGCAUCACGUGACAGAGAGCGAAACUAACCAUGCGUAAACUUUUAUCACAUGAUUAUUGCCAAGUUGCUAAGCACACCAAUAAACUGAGUCUAAAAUAUC